ACCUAAUUUGAUUUACAUCACCCCGACACACAAAUCCCAUCUUAUGAACAACCGUCUUUAGAUUUUGAGUACAUGUACUUUUGUUGCUUCAAACGAAAAAAAAUGGACAAAUGAUCUACCCUACGUUUAAGCUAGGAGUGGAUUCGCCAAUUAGAUAAAUGAAUUCAGAUCAGAUGUCACAAGUUGGCAUUGGGAACCUCAGCAAGAGGCAAUACUCAAGAUCUCUUUGGUUCAGUUUGAUGCAAGCGAGUAAAGUAUGUUAACUCUGCAGGUUGCAAGCUGAGUUUUCAAGAUUUUGUAUGUGAGUUGGAGAGUUUCAGGAGAUGCAUUUGGAAGGCAGGGUAUCCCUUUAUGUUCCACUGCUGUCUGAUAUUUAGUUUAGUUUAGUAUUUAGUCAUUUUAAAAUGACCUUUAAGAACUUUAUUGUUCACAAUUAGUUUACCAAACUGACAAAAAUGAAGGUUAAUGACUGAAAAGUAUAAAAUGAGUGGGGGCAUCAUUGUUACUGAUAGAUAUUUUUUAAAAAAUGCUUAUCAAUUUUAUUUAUUUCUUUUUUAGGGGUUUUCCAGAAAUCGUACCACCGUUGAAAGGUAGCAUUGUAAUGGAAAAGUGGGUUUACUUUUCAGUAUUUAUAAAGUGUUAAUGAGUCAGGUAAGUUAAUUAGAUUGGUGCAUAAUUAAGUAAGAGGUAGGGUCCGUCAGUAUCAGAAUUUUCAAUAUUCAGUAUAUCAAAUAUUUUCCAUAUAAAGACGGCGCUUGAUAUCAAGGAAACCCGAGUGGAUAACAGCUGUAAUAUUCACCAGUGGGGACUUGAUCCACAGUUAGUCCAAAAAUAUAAAUGUGGGUGUCGGUGUGACCGGAUUUUUCAUCCCCGCACAAACUGUAUGGAUGAUGAAAAAAUCAUCAACAUUUUCGGUAUCAUUCCCAUAAAUUAUACAAUUUUUAAAAAUUUCUAUUGGCUAUAUGGAUAUCAAAGUACCGGUAAUAUUAAAUAAUCAAGAACUAUUGAUGUAUUGACGGGCCCUAGUAUGAGGCGUUUGAGAUGAUAUUGGACUCAUAAAUGAUUGUCACAUAAAGGUGCUAAAUGUAAAAUCAUUUCAAACUAUUUGACAUUUAUUAAUUUAGUAGUAUUGUGAUAGAGAUGGGUAGAUGGGCGUGUCUUCCACUCUCAAAAAAAAAAGAAAAUUAGCAAAAAGGAGAGUUUAAGAUAAACACCUGGAACAGCUUUCGAAAACGCUUCAGUUCUGGAAAAUUUAAAAGAUUUUUUUUUUCACAACCCAUGUAGUAUGUAGUGCAUGUAGUAUGAAUAUAUUUGUCAGAAUUCAAAUGUAACAAAAGUUUGGUUGUGUACAAACAUUAAUAUAUCAGUCUUACAAAUCACUGCAAGUCAUGUGUUGUAACAAAGUAUUUAUUGUGUAUACUGUGCUAUGGGGUCGUAUGCUAAUCUUGUAAUUUGCAUAUAUUCAAUUUUAAUUUUGCCAGUUGUGCUUUAUUCCUGACCUUAACAUAUGUUGCAUAUGUUAUACUGUGUGUAUUAUCUUAUACUACAUACAUGUACAUACAUGCACUUGUAUGGCACCUGAGGUCUUCUAGUGUAUAGACUGUACAUAAAGUGUGACAAAAGCGUAAAGCCUGUAUUUAUGAAUUUAAAACAUGUAAACAAU